rnacentral:misc_RNA from 1 species
ACCAUCUCCCUAGCAAAUUCAGGAUCCACAACUAAGCUAGCCAAAUGGGGAUUCCUCUGAUAAGCCUUCUUAAUCCUAUCCAAAAACACUGCCCUUAUAAUACAGCCACCUUUCCAAAUCCUGGCCAACUCCCCCAAAUUCAAAUUCCACCCCUUCUCAUUACUCUUAGCCCUCAACAAGUUCAUCCCUUGGGCGUAACUACAAAUC